AGAGUUUGAUCAUGGCUCAGAGCGAACGGUGGCGGCGUGGCUUAGGCAUGCAAGUCGAACGAGAAAGGUCCAGCUUGCUGGGCCGAGUAGAGUGGCGAACGGGUGAGUAAUGUAUGGAUAACCUACCCCCGAGGCGGGGAUAACAGCUCGAAAGGGCUGCUAAUACCCGAUAGCUCCGGUAGCAGGUACUGCGGCCGGAUAAAGGAGGGCAACUUCCACUCGAGGAGGGAUCCAUAUCCCAUCAGCUAGUUGGCGGGAUAACAGCCCACCAAGGCAACGACGGGUAGCCGGACUGAGAGGUUGACCGGCCACAUCGGGACUGAGACACUGCCCGGACUCCUACGGGAGGCUGCAGUCGAGAAUCUUCUGCAAUGGGCGAAAGCCUGACAGAGCGACGCCGCGUGGAGGAUGAAGGCCCUCGGGUUGUAAACUCCUGUCACUCGUUAAGAACGUCCGGAGUAACGACCUGGACUGACGUAGCGAGAGAGAGCC
rnacentral:rRNA from 1 species